AAAAAAGCUUUUUUCAAAGCUACCGGCGAUUUGAAAUUAUUUUUCU
rfam:Anopheles christyi strain ACHKN1017 cont1.14612, whole genome shotgun sequence.